rnacentral:rRNA from 1 species
UUAAGCGACUAAGCGUACACGGUGGAUGCCCUGGCAGUCAGAGGCGAUGAAGGACGUGCUAAUCUGCGAUAAGCGCCGGUAAGGUGAUAUGAACCGUUAUAACCGGCGAUUUCCGAAUGGGGAAACCCAGUGUGAUUCGUCACACUAUCAUUAACUGAAUCCAUAGGUUAAUGAGGCGAACCGGGGGAACUGAAACAUCUAAGUACCCCGAGGAAAAGAAAUCAACCGAGAUUCCCCCAGUAGCGGCGAGCGAACGGGGAGGAGCCCAGAGCCUGAAUCAGCAUGUGUGUUAGUGGAAGCGUCUGGAAAGGUGCGCGAUACAGGGUGACAGCCCCGUACACAAAAGCGCAUGUGCUGUGAGCUCGAUGAGUAGGGCGGGACACGUGGUAUCCUGUCUGAAUAUGGGGGGACCAUCCUCCAAGGCUAAAUACUCCUGACUGACCGAUAGUGAACCAGUACCGUGAGGGAAAGGCGAAAAGAACCCCGGCGAGGGGAGUGAAAAAGAACCUGAAACCGUGUACGUACAAGCAGUGGGAGCACCCUUCGGGGUGUGACUGCGUACCUUUUGUAUAAUGGGUCAGCGACUUAUAUUCUGUAGCAAGGUUAACCGUAUAGGGGAGCCGGAGGGAAACCGAGUCUUAACCGGGCGUUAAGUUGCAGGGUAUAGACCCGAAACCCGGUGAUCUAGCCAUGGGCAGGUUGAAGGUUGGGUAACACUAACUGGAGGACCGAACCGACUAAUGUUGAAAAAUUAGCGGAUGACCUGUGGCUGGGGGUGAAAGGCCAAUCAAACCGGGAGAUAGCUGGUUCUCCCCGAAAGCUAUUUAGGUAGCGCCUCGUGAAUUCAUCUCCGGGGGUAGAGCACUGUUUCGGCUAGGGGGCCAUCCCGGCUUACCAACCCGAUGCAAACUGCGAAUACCGGAGAAUGUUAUCACGGGAGACACACGGCGGGUGCUAACGUCCGUCGUGAAGAGGGAAACAACCCAGACCGCCAGCUAAGGUCCCAAAGUCAUGGUUAAGUGGGAAACGAUGUGGGAAGGCCCAGACAGCCAGGAUGUUGGCUUAGAAGCAGCCAUCAUUUAAAGAAAGCGUAAUAGCUCACUGGUCGAGUCGGCCUGCGCGGAAGAUGUAACGGGGCUAAACCAUGCACCGAAGCUGCGGCAGCGAACGUAUCACCCAAGACAACUUUACGGAGUUGACGAUUGACGGAGCGAAGCGACGUCAAAGCGUUCAUUAAAGUCGAGUUGGCUUAGGGAUACGUUCGUUGGGUAGGGGAGCGUUCUGUAAGCCUGUGAAGGUGUGUCGUGAGGCAUGCUGGAGGUAUCAGAAGUGCGAAUGCUGACAUAAGUAACGAUAAAGCGGGUGAAAAGCCCGCUCGCCGGAAGACCAAGGGUUCCUGUCCAACGUUAAUCGGGGCAGGGUGAGUCGACCCCUAAGGCGAGGCCGAAAGGCGUAGUCGAUGGGAAACGGGUUAAUAUUCCCGUACUUGGUGUUACUGCGAAGGGGGGACGGAGAAGGCUAUGUUGGCCGGGCGACGGUUGUCCCGGUUUAAGCGUGUAGGUGUGUGUUCCAGGUAAAUCCGGUUCACUUUAACACUGAGGCGUGAUGACGAGGCACUACGGUGCUGAAGCAACAAAUGCCCUGCUUCCAGGAAAAGCCUCUAAGCAUCAGGUAACCCGAAAUCGUACCCCAAACCGACACAGGUGGUCAGGUAGAGAAUACCAAGGCGCUUGAGAGAACUCGGGUGAAGGAACUAGGCAAAAUGGUGCCGUAACUUCGGGAGAAGGCACGCUGACACGUAGGUGAAGUGAUUUACUCAUGGAGCUGAAGUCAGUCGAAGAUACCAGCUGGCUGCAACUGUUUAUUAAAAACACAGCACUGUGCAAACACGAAAGUGGACGUAUACGGUGUGACGCCUGCCCGGUGCCGGAAGGUUAAUUGAUGGGGUCAGCGCAAGCGAAGCUCCUGAUCGAAGCCCCGGUAAACGGCGGCCGUAACUAUAACGGUCCUAAGGUAGCGAAAUUCCUUGUCGGGUAAGUUCCGACCUGCACGAAUGGCGUAAUGAUGGCCAGGCUGUCUCCACCCGAGACUCAGUGAAAUUGAACUCGCUGUGAAGAUGCAGUGUACCCGCGGCAAGACGGAAAGACCCCGUGAACCUUUACUAUAGCUUGACACUGAACAUUGAGCCUUGAUGUGUAGGAUAGGCGGGUGGCAUUGAAGUGGGGAAGCCAGUCUGCAUGGAUCCGUCCUUGAAUUACUACCCUUUAAUGUUUGAUGUUCUAACGUGGACCCGUAAUCCGGGUUGCGGCCAGUGUCUGGCGGGUAGUUUGACUGUUGCGGUCUCCUCCUAAAGAGGAACGGAGGAGCACGGAGGUUGGCUGAUCUUGGUCGGACAUCAGGAGGCUAGUGCGAUGGCAUAAGCCACCUUGACCGCGAGCGUGACGGCGCGAGCAGGUGCGAAAGCAGGUCAUAGUGAUCCGGUGAUGCUGGAUGGAAGGGCCGACGCUCAACGGAUAAAAGGUACUCCGGGGAUAACAGGCUGAUACAGCCCAAGAGGUCAAAUCGACGGCGGUGGUAGGAACCUCGAUGGCGGCUCAUCACAUCCUGGGGCU